rnacentral:rRNA from 1 species
CGAGUGGCGGACGGGUGAGUAAUGUCUAGGGAAACUGCCGAUGGAGGGGGAUAACUACUGGAAACGGUAGCUAAUACCGCAUAACGUCGCAAGACCAAAGAGGGGGACCUUCGGGCCUCUUGCCAUCGGAUGUGCCCAGAUGGGAUUAGCUAGUAGGUGGGGUAACGGCUCACCUAGGCGACGAUCCCUAGCUGGUCUGAGAGGAUGACCAGCCACACUGGAACUGAGACACGGUCCAG